AAAAAAAAAGAGGAGGGGAAGUGGGGGGCCAUAACAAGGGAAAGCGACGAGGAACUGCCGGCAGCGCACAGGGAGCAACCCAGGCGACGCUGAAGGCAGCCGAGCGUCCUGGAAGGGAACGGACCCAAAAAGAAGGGGGAAGUCAGCAGGACGAGAGAGACACAUGGAUGAUGAUGAUGAGGAUGAAGAUGAGGAUGGUGAUGGGGAUCCCGAUGCUCCUCCUGCUCCCGCGGCUCCUCUCCUCCUCACCUCCGCCUCCUCCACCUCCGCCUCGCAUCGCUGGCCUCAGCCGCCGCCGACCAGCACAGAGAAUGAUGCUGUUGAAUAUGUGCAGUUUUUAAAUACCCAGAAAGCAAAUUCACUGAGAACGGCUUCCCACCUGUGGAUUCCUCUGUUCAGCACAGAAUUAUUUUGGCAACUGAAGAAUUCUUCAUUGUGGAUGGCUGUGGGAAGAUAUUAAUCCUGUUCUUCAAGUAAGAUGCAUUCACUGAUCUACUAGACCUGCUCCACCUCUGCUGUUUCAUAUUGUGAGAGGAAAUCAAAGGAAUCCCAAGUGAUGAGUAAUCUCAAGUCAUUUUUAGCCCCUUUCUGCCCUGUUUUGCAGCAGCUUUCUGCAGACAAGUUCAGAUGUCCCUUGCUCAACAGGAGUAGAGCAGAGGGAGAUCUGUUGUGAGCUCUGCUUUAAGGCGAGCUGAGUUUUCCAUCUCUGGGCACUCCUUGAGAAAACCUCACUCCAAAUGGUUGUAUGGGGAUGGCAGAUCCCAGCCACAGACAGUUCACAGCUGCCUCACUGGAUGGAACAGCAGAAUGCCUCCUGGAGCUGAUCUGCAGUACAGGAGGAGAAAAUCAGGAUUUUCUUACUGGUUUCUGCUGUCUGGAUGUGCAUGGGUGUUCUUUCAUUAUAGUUUCUCCAACAUUUGCUCUGAAUAGAGGUUGUACCAGGGCACCUACAAAGCAGUGAGCCAUCCUGUUCCUACAGAUGUGGCAAGCUUGAAGAAUGUUGUAUUGGAGCAUUCAAACCCCGUGUCCUGUGUCAUCUGGGAGCUGUGGGAGAGAUGUGGGUGAUGUAAGACAUGUCCUUGGUGAAAAGAGUGCCUGUACCUCUGGAGUCUCACAGGGUCUGAGGCACAACCCUACAGUGUGGUCAGAAUUUCCAUGGGUACUUCAAUCAGUGGAGGUUCAAUUACUGAAUUUUCCUUCUUGUGUGAUCAGCAGAACCAAAUACACACUGCCCUGGAGCUCAGCACCUCCUGGUCCUGUAUCUUCCACACAAAUCAGCCUAAACCAACACGGAGGUUUCACUGCCAGUGACUUGGCAGCUGGCACACCUGUGUCUCUGUCCCUGCAGGAAGGGUCCAGAGCUGGAAAGGCAGGGAUGUCCCUGCAGGAAGGGUGCAGAGCUGGAAAGGCAGGGAUGUCCCUGCAGGAAGGGUGCUGAGCUGGAAAGGCAGGGAUGUCACAUCCUCAGCCACUGCAGUGACAUCCAGGAGUCCCCAGAGCUGCCUGUCCUACUUUGUGCAGAUGAUUGGAGCGUGCUGGAGCCUGCGCCUCCAACAGCACCAUUCCAGCAGUGUCAGCUACAGAACCCAUCAGACUGGGAGUGCUCCUGGUGGCUGGCCCUGCCAGGCUGUGGCUCUAUUCCUGUCUUGGUGAGUCUGAUUUAGCUCCUUUACAGCUCUGCUCUCUCACAAGCUGCAGCCUCUGAAGCACAGAGAAACCCAAGUCCCUUUCCCACUCCCCUGUACAUUUACUCAGAGGCCUCUCAGAAGUUUUGGACUGCAGUCUUUCCCUUUCCCUGUGUGCCCCCUCUAAGGGUUCAUGUUUAUUUAAGAUUUAACUUUAUGAGCAGUUUUCUUUCUCUCAGUAUACACAGUUCAAAUUUGGUCUGUUCCCUCAGCUUUUGCAUUCAGCUGGUUUGACUGAUUUAAUGUCGCUGAUUUACCGGUAUAAUUUAGCUUGUCUGAAGGGAAGGAAGAUUGAUGUUGGCUGAAAUAAAAUUCUGAGAUGCCUAUGGAGUUUUAUUGCCCUAGAUUUUUUGAUUGCUAUUUAUUCACAAAAGUGGGCAGAACUCUGACUUGAGAUUUUUCAGGAAUGCCUCCAUUAUGUCAGAGCUGCUAAUUCUUUGAGUCAAGUCAUUGUGGUUAGCCAAUCUUGUUUUCUGUCUCUGUGGUAAGAUUUUACAUCCAGAAGGCUAACCUCAAUGCUCCCCCACAAAAGCAGGCAGGGAUGACAAAGCAUUUCCUUCUUUGACCUCUGUACUUGAGUUUUGUAGAAAGAUGAAAUCUAUCAAAUCAGACCAAAUGCCAAAUCACCUGCAUGAGAAUGAGCAGGUCAAAGCCUGUUCCUGCAGCAAUAUGUGGAACAAAAACAUACUGAAACAUGUUUUUAAAAGUAAUUUCUCCUCUAAAAUAGUUUUUUUCCCCAAAUUUAGACUAUGAACUAUGAAAUUCUCUCCUGCUUGUGAGUUACAUAUGGUUAUCACAUCAGAGAAAACUUGAAGUUGUUAGGAUUUUUGAAUUUUGCGUACUUAUCUUGAAUUUUCUGGGUUUGUGAUGUUUUUGGGGGGAAUAAACGGAAUAUUCUGAUUUUGUCAUAUACCUGCUGGGAUAGCACUGGGCUGGAUCCCUUCUGCUGUGACAAGGGCCACACUCCAGACCCUCAACACCUCCUCUUGAUUCACACAGGGGCUGUGUCUCUCCUUCUAAUUAGCAACAUAAUCACCCAUGAACUAAAGAACUCAGUCCCACCCAGAUGCAUCUGGAGCUGGUUUUAUGAGUGCAAGAUAUAUAAUAUCAGCAUUAUGUCAUAUAAAAACCUCUGGCUUGCCACCAUGAAAUUCAUUUGUGCACUCUGCUUGUACCCCUGGUGCUGUGCUAAGCUGAAGCAAACUGACCAUUUGGACCAAGCUUAGCUCCCUACUUGAAAUCCCAGGAUUAUGAUGGUAGAGCAGGAGUAUUCCCUGUGCUGGAGCUGCCUUCCAGCUGGCCACUCUCAGAUCAGUGACAGGUCAGACCAAGUGGCAGCAGGUGGGUGACCAAGGAGCCUGCCACUGACAGCUCUUUGCCUGUGGUGGGAAGGACUGGUGACUGCACAAUUCCCUCAGACUGGAGCAUUUCAAAUAAUAAAAUAAGCAUGGUUUGGAAACUGCCUCUAAUAGUGGAGGGACAGCUGACCACUUUGUCACUGCUGCCACUCUGGCAUCACAGAAAACUGACCUGAAUUCUUGAUCUGGCCAGUCUGUUGAUCUAUAAUCAUAGUGAUCCGUUAAUUACUUGGCUUAAUUACAGGCAAUUUAUUCUAAUGAAAGGUUUAACUAUACCUACCUUUGUAAGUUUCCACAUUAUUUUUCAUUGAGAUAAUUUUCAGGCAUAAAAAAUCCAGCAUGCAGUGCCUUAAAACAACCCAUUCCACAAAGACUGCGGAGCUUUACUGGCAAAUUCUCCAUACAAUAUUCUCUGUUCAGGCAGUAAAUAUCAGAGCCAUGAGAAACAUCCUGUAUUCUUCACAUACACACACCCCACAGGGGGCUAGAAUCCCUCUCAAUGCAGUUUUACCCAUGCACUCGUGACCUGGGCUUCCAUAAUUCCUCUUUGCUGUGAUAUUAGCACCAGGUGUACCAUCAGUACACCUGCCUUUUCAUGUAAGCUCUGAUGGAGAGAUGCAGUUAGCAAAUGGCAUCAGGUAUUAAUGCAGAAGUGACCUUUUAAUGUCAUGCACAGAUACAUGAAGAAAGAACUGCCACUGAAAACUUCUGAUUAAAGAUAAAAGUAGACAGCCUGUACAAACAUUAAGAUAAAAAGUAAAUCCAUUUGCCCUGAGUUUCCCCUGCUAUCCCACCUCCUACUCUAAAUUGAUGUUGUCAGCACUCAUGAUUUUAUCACAAGUCUUGUGAUGUUUGAUGUUUCACUUACACUCCAGCUACUACAGUUGUGUAAUGAGGUUAGAAACUCAGUUUUCCUCUUUCUUUAAUUUAAAGUAAGUUCCUAGUCCUAAUGGUUAGAGUAUAAAGCUUGCAAGUGUGACCCAGGUGCACCCUAACAGCUCAAAAACCAGAAAGCACAGUAAAAGAGCUCCACAUUUAUCGUUUCACAGACAGGCUUGUGAUUUUGAGGGUCAAACUGUAGUUCUUGAACAUUUGGAGGUGGCAAUAGCAGCUUGGGAAAAAAAAAGUGCUUGAACAAAGUCCCACACCAUGCUGCAUUUUCCAGGGAGGCAGAGCAGUCAUUAUACCACAGUGAUAAUUCCCUUUUCAGACAUGCACAUUUUCCUAUUUUGUUUGUUAUGCAGCAUCUCAGCCCCAGCCUGGCUGGUCUGUAGGGGAUUGUCCUGGUGUGUAACAAUUUGCCUGAUGUUGGAGGGCUCAAACUGCUCCUUGUGCUGACACAGGAGAGGUUUUGCAGCACUCCUUACUCCCCACAGACUGGCAGGUUUGUGCAUAAAAAACCUGUAAAACCAGGAAUGUUCUGACUUCCAGUCUAGGAAGUUGAUCUGCCUUUUGUAAAGCUCCAUCAAGAAACCAGGAAUACCCCACCCCUGCCAAUCCAGCAACAAAGGGGCAAAGAACCAAACCAAUGCAAAUAUGGAAAUUCAGUAACGUUGAAAACAGCUGGUUUGACUUACAGUGCCCAGAAUGUGCCAAGUGCAGAAUUUGAUGAACAGACCAAAAAUACUCAGCUGAUGGGUUUGGAAAAACCAAGCUUCCAGCAGCAACAACUCAAAUUUGAAGGAGACACCAUAUUUAAAUGGAGCUCCAAAUUAUCAAAGACUUCCCAUUGUAUCACUAAAAGUAUGAAUUUCACCAAGAACUGGAGGGGUAUCCAAAGCAAUGGGCAGAGUCUGAGUGUGGUGUGGGCACAUUGGUCAAAACUCCUCUGCAGGCACAGACUGCUGGUGCCAAAGGUCCCUCUGUGCUUGCCCUAAAUGAUGGUGUAAUCCAUUCUGGAGGUGACAAAAUUACAAAUAACUGACAAAACCUAAAUGCAAAGAAAAGGUGAAAGUCCAUGAGACUCAAAUACUACCUGAGUGUACAGAAUAACAAGGGAGGUUUUCUGUUCCGCAAAUAUAAACUAAAACUGGAUAACAUUUUCAAAGAACUAAAGAAAUUAACUGAUUCUACACUGCUCCUGUUAAUAAUUUUGUCCCUGAAUUCAGCAGUAAUUUCCAUGUGGUGAUUUCCAUGGGACUGACAGUUUGCUUCUAAACUGCUUCCCCUGUAAAAAGCUGAAGAAGCCAUUAUUGACUCUUGAUCCCUUUGCUGAGUGUUUCAGAGGGCACACACAUCUCUCUGUAUCACAGAUCACAUUAUUUAGGCCUGUGGACUUACAUUUUUUAUCCCUAAUUUAAAGGGCUGUGAAAAAUCUCUGUCUUCCAAGAGGUGCAUUCUUCAGCCUUAGGAACUUCUAAACAACUUUAAAAAGGCUACACAAAACAUCAGAAGGGGCUGCAUCUUCCAUAUAUUAGUUUAUAUGAAGAGGAGUUCUCUUUAUGAUGUUUUCCAGCUCCUUUCUAGCUCUGUUGUCUGUAAUUACUUUCAAAUACACCCAAAUCAUCACCCUGUACUGAAAUGAACUGUCUCUUACUCUCACCUAUGCAGGCCUGUGCUGCUGGCAUAACAAUGUCAGAUGUAUUUCUGAAAUCUAAAAUGAGUAAGGUUUAAAAGAUUUUCCCACCUGUAUUGUCCCUGCUCCCAUGGCAGUCUGGCAGGACUCCUGUUGCUGUGGCAGGACAAUUUAAUGCUGGUUUCUGUUUUUUAAAUAACAGAAAGUUCCUUGUGGCACCUGUGUAGAUAAAGCUGUGUUCAAGCCAUUGAUUUCACUUUGACACUCCACAACACAUGAAUUAAAGAACUGGAUUUCUGUCCUCUGAGUCUGUCUCCCUUUCUGCCUCACUAAACAUUAAUUAUUGUGGUCUUGACACUCUGUUCUGCCCUUUUUCUUCUCUUUCCUCCUCCCCAGUCCCCACUGUCACUCCCAGUGGCUGGGGAGUCUUUCCAUUAAAGCAAUCCUGUUCAUCUCCCAAUAAAGGGCCAUCAGCCAACACAUUCUGGGCCUGAAUUCAUCUCAUAAAUAUUGGUACAGGCUUAAAUA